GCUUCACCGAACCUAGCAAGGCAAGCAAACGCUCGGGAAAGAAGAAGUAAAUUGUCUUUCAAUGCGUGCAGACUGCGUUCGUGUUGCGCGUCAUGUGAAAAACAACGAGAAAAAAAGUGCGUGCCACGGGUGAAGCAGAUUUUCCGUAAACCAAAAAAUAAAAAAUGCAUCGAGACAACAUUGCUACCGAGUUUGUAAAGUUUUGAAGCAGCAAAAGUUAACAGUGUUUGCAGUGUUUGCUCAAAAGAAGUGAAACAAAACAAAAUAAAACCUACCUCAUUUAGUGCGUGGCAGCGCUUGCUAAGUAAGCCUCCACACGUUGCAAGUGUUUAUGUAAAGCAGAAAAGUACACACACAGCAUCUCAACGGAAACACGUUACCCAGGAGUCUGUGCAAAGGUUAAAUAUUUUAUUUUUUACAUUUACAAAAUCAGUGAAGAAAAAAAAACAAAAUUUGAAGAAAUUGUGUUGAAAAAGUUACAGCACCGGUGUGUACCAAAUAAAAAAGGCAAAAAUACACCGAAACAAAAUCAAAUUAGCAAAUAGUGUGUGUGUAUGUGAAAAAGUGAAGCAAGAAUAAAAAAAAGCUUUUUGGAAUCCAACAGCAACAAAAAUUACGUUCCUAUUUUCUUUUUCCAACGGUCGCAUAUUCUACGUUCUAGAAAACCCAAACAAAACAAACCGCACUGCGACGACGCGCCUUUUUCCCUCCAGAAGAAAAAGCACUAGAGGAAGGAUCCUUGCCUCUUGGGUGCUAAGUGGCAGUAGUAGUAGUAGUAGGUGCGGUUGUGUGUGUAUGUGUGUGGUGGUAUUGGGUGAAAAAUAGCGGAGCGGCUCUUGGUUUUAUCCUUUUUCGCAACCGAACGUCAUCCUGUUUUGCGUCUCACCAAUACACCCAUACCGUGACGACGACGAUAUGGCGGGUGUGUUCGAUCUGGAGCUGCACGAGGAGGAGGACCUUCACGACUCGGAUGACGACGUUAUCGAGAUCGAGGAUGUCGAUCUCGAGCCCGAACUUCACAUCAACACAAAUCUAGAUACCGAAGGAUCUGAAACGAUACCACUGUCGGAGGAUAUUGUAAAUCCUGGACGAAUCAAGCUAGGACCGCAGGAUUUCGAGCUAAAGAAAGUAUUAGGAAAAGGUGGAUAUGGUAAAGUCUUCCAAGUCAGAAAAACCACUGGUGCUGAUGCAAAUUCGUACUUCGCGAUGAAGGUGUUAAAAAAAGCUUCGAUAGUUAGAAAUCAAAAAGACACAGCCCACACACGCGCCGAGCGAAAUAUAUUAGAAGCCGUCAGGCAUCCAUUCAUAGUAGAGCUAGUGUACGCCUUCCAGACCGGUGGCAAGUUGUAUUUAAUCCUAGAAUACUUGAGCGGUGGCGAGCUGUUCAUGCAUUUAGAGCGUGAGGGUAUAUUCUUGGAGGACACUGCAUGCUUUUACCUAUGUGAAAUUAUUCUGGCCCUGGAACACCUGCACAAUCUUGGCAUCAUCUAUCGGGAUCUGAAACCGGAAAAUGUGCUACUCGAUGCGAAGGGUCACGUGAAGCUAACAGAUUUCGGUCUCUGCAAGGAACACAUCCAGGAGGGCAUUGUAACGCACACGUUCUGCGGUACGAUCGAGUACAUGGCACCGGAAAUAUUAACUCGUAGCGGACAUGGUAAAGCGGUCGAUUGGUGGUCACUGGGUGCCCUUAUGUACGAUAUGUUAACGGGAACGCCACCAUUCUGUGCGGACAAUCGAAAGAAAACGGUCGAUGCUAUACUGAAGGACAAGCUCAACAUUCCGGGCUAUCUGACACCGGAUUCGCGCGAUCUAAUUCGCCGGUUGAUGAAGCGUCAAGUGUCGCAGCGUCUCGGCAGUGGACCGACCGAUGGGCAGGCGGUAAGGGCACAUCCAUUCUUCAAGAACGUCAACUGGGAUGAUGUUGUGAAGAGAAGGCUUGAUCCACCAAUCAAACCUGUUUUGGCCAGUGAGGAUGAUGUGUCACAGUUCGAUACCAAGUUUACGAAAGAGAUUCCUGUAGAUUCGCCCGAUGAAACAACGCUGAGUGAGAGUGUCAAUCUAAUCUUCCAGGGUUUCACGUAUGUCGCUCCUUCCGUGCUAGAGGAAAUGCAGACGCGAAUCACAACACCACGAUCGCCCCGUCGAAUGCCGCGUCACCAUCACGGCCAUCAUCUACAUCAGCACCAUCCACACAAUCACCAUCACGGUGGCGCUGGUAGUUCUGCCGGAGCGCACGGUGCAGGCAGCAGUCGAAUGAUGGAGAAUGGUGGUGCGUGGAAGAUGGCACCCCAUCAAAACCUGCACAAUCAUCAUCCGCACGUGCAUCAGCAGCAACGGGUGGGACAGAUGGUACCACCGAACCAGCAACAAUCAGUCGGCCAACCGGCUCAACCACACAAUCAGACGCAACCGAACCAGGCCGGUGUUAGUGGCGGUCCGCCCGGCAGCAGACCGUUCAAUGCCGCCUCAAUCUCCCGACGAACGCCACCACAUCUGCAACCGUUUGCACCGAGACCCUCGCCACAGGACGAAAUGAUGGAUGUGUAUCCGGAAAUGUCCAUCUCUUAGUGAGUAGCGGGUCGUGUGCCGGCAGUACGAACUAGAGAUGAGAAUGACAACUCUUUUUAGCCAACGUUGGAAGAUUAUAGCAGUUAUAGAAAAUUUGUCACCUAAACAUGUGCAGUCCAGCGUGACACACCCAUAUUAAUGAUGAAGGUGAUGAUGGGUUGGAGCUGUACAGAAAGCAGCAUAAACGCUCAUCUCCAAACUAAUACUAACCCCGGUAGUCUAGCGUAAACAAUAGGAAAAAGCAAAUUAUUCUAGAAGCGAAUGAGGGGAAUGUAAGUUAGUGAAAAUAUAACGACAAAACAGUAGGGAAGUGAGGGUGCAACAAAAUCACCAAGAAAGUGUAAACUAGAAUAACAAAUUUUCCUCUCAAACAUUUGGUUUCGCAGCAGUAGCACCUGUUGAAGCUGUUUCCUUGCAGGCUAGAGCAAAUUUGGGUUUUUUCUCCUCUUUCUCUCUCUCUCUGUAACAAAAUUCCUGUUUUUACUAUACAAAAUUCGUUGAUUACGCGUUGCCCAAUCGUUACCAAAUGCUACGUUAGCGCAAUGUUUUAAGAACGUUUAUGUUUUGCACCUUAUUUUAAAAUGCUUCGACUCAGGCGACUCAGGCAGAUUUUGAAGGGAAGCUCCCCCAACAUCCUAUAGCCAAAUCAAUCCAGGAACGUAGGCAGGCAGGCAAGCUAGGCUCAUUCAGCAAUUUGGCAUGCUUUUAAGGAAAGGUACCCGGUAGUGUUACGAAUCAAUCAACUAACGAAUGGUGCAGAUACGACGUUUUACACGAGAAUAACGAGCCACGUGUUGCUGAAUAGGAUACGGAGCGUAGCAGAGCUGUUGUUUAUUACUUUUAUUCUACGCUCUUUCGACACUUUUGUGCUGCAUGAGACGAAUAGUUUAUGUAUGCAGAUUAACAAUUUUUUUUUUUGGGACAUAUUUAGAAAUAUUUUUGAUGUGUUGAUAUGAAGCUUUUAUUAUGUAUCUAUUUUCAUUUGUUCCACACGAUAUGUUUUUCGAACACGGUUCGCAGAUAUUAUUGAUAAAAAAAUUACUAUUAAAUUACUAGAAACUUUGCUUCACAAAAUGAUAGCAGGCUAGAAGGGAAAUUAUUGAUUUCAUUGCAAUACGACAUUGUGAGAAUUGGGGUGGCAAAGGUAGGCUUGCCCUACUCGAGGGUGGCAUAUUUUGAGAUUUUUUGUAAGGAAAGUUUAAUUAAAAUUUGUUUAUAAAUUGUAUUAUAAAGUGUGCUUGCACUCAAACCCCUGUUCUUCCGGAUCAUUUGAUGCCGCAAGCACUACAUUUACUUGGUGCGGCAAAUUUUACACUCGCAAAUAUUAUUAACUACAGUGAACGCAUAGCAAAAAAAAACACCAGGGAAUGAGCUUGAGGCAAGCGCGAACUUUAGAUAACGAAUCGUAAAAGAUGCAUUUUCAACACAUAAAGCAAACAGCGAGCAAUGAUAACGAAAACGGCCAGGGUGGAAAGAAAUUGUGUAGUUUGGUGGAAAGUUUAAUAUAACCCUCCAAGAUUAUUUACAACAAGAGACGUAAACGUUGAAAAAAGAAAAAAAGGAAGACAAACGAUACGAACCCGUGCGUAUAACAAUGAAGACAUGAAAUGGAAAUUAAUACUUUAAAAUCGUGCGUGACAAAAGAUUAGAUAUUAGCAUUCGGUUACUUCUUCUCCUUUACAUUUUUCUUCUUGUUCUAACUGGUAAAAAAAAAUCAAAUAUUGAAAGAAAGGACUUUCACGGUUGCAUGCAUUGGAAAACUAUUAAAUUUAACAAAACAAAACAAUUACACUAUGUUCCUUUUCUGUGUUUCCACAACUUUUGCUCUGUUUUAGGAAAGGGCCUAUUGUAUUUUACCCCCGCUUAAGAAUGUAGUUGAAAGGCAAGCAAAACAGAAAACUCGUACCACUGCCCACGAAAAGGGAAAGCAGCGAUGUGGCCGCCCCCCUCCGAACGAAGAAAUAGGGUUUUGACAGCAAUUAGUCAAUGAUACAAAAGGAAGGCAAAAAACCAACAAACUCUCACACACACAAAAAAUGGAAAACAAACUUACAAACAAAACCAAAAAAACCAAAACGUAAACGAAAACUACCAUUUGCAAUAGUCUGAAUGUAGCUAAAACAAAAAAAAAACAACGUAUAUGUGAAUAAAGUGUAGUAAAUCGAGUAUAAAACUCUAAACCUGUAGAGAGCUGAGGGUAAGGUGUGUGUGUGUGUGUGUGUGGCAGGAGAAGAGAUUUACAGAUAAUCCGCAACCGCGCGCGUAUAACUCUCCAUUAUUGAAACUUGCAUCAACAUGGUAAAACUAGCUAAUUAAGUUUCUUUACUAAUGCAAAAUGUGCAGCUGCCAGAGCACAUAAUACACAUACAUAUGUUACGUGGAAGCGAAACUAAAAAUAAAACAAUAGUGUAAAGAUAUGGAAACCAAUAUGACUGAUUUUUAUCGAAACCGCAAAGGCCGGAUGAAGGGGUGGAAUUAUGUGGAAAGUAAAGAAAUCAGUGCAAAAACACAAAAACACAAACAGCAGCGGCACAGAGAGGACACUACCAAAAGAAUGUAUAGCAGAGCAGUAAACGGCAAUGAAACGAGGGACGUUGUUCCUUAUUCUAGCUAAAUGUAACUUCUGGCUUUACUAUUCACUACUUUGCGCCGGUGUCGUUAGCGAAGCAAUUCGCCAAUGAAGACGCUGAAACGUUUUUUUUUUUCAUUUACCAUUUACCAAUGUUGUAUCAUAAUGAACAACGUUUAAUAUAACUAUCAAAGUACUAAAAUCGAAAAAGAAUCCUUUGCUAACCUGCUGCUCCUACCGUUUAUCGGAAUGGACGUGUAGUGUUUCAUUUGUACUGUAUUUUGUAUCUAGCUCAAUUUGGUGCGUGUGUGUGCGUGUGUGGGUAGAUUUAUGUUUGUUCCUUUUUGUUUAUUUCCUUACCCUUGGUAGAUAUGAUUUAGGUGUAGAAAGAUAAAGUUAUAUAAAGAAGAAAAGCUACAUAACACUGUAUAACAACACCUCAGCGGAAACAAAACAAAACAAAACAAGAAAACCACUCGUGUGCACUAAUUGUACAUUAAUUGUACGUAAAAUCAAAGCAAUUACAAGUUCGCAAUUUGUGACAUUAACAACUCACAAUUAUUAACAUGAUUCUGCCUUAAUUAAAGUUCCAAUAAAGUAGAUAAGAAAUGAAGCAACUUAGACGCGCACGAAACUCCUUUCCGAGGAGUUUGGCUUCAUGUCUAAUAUCACACACGUUGUGUUGCUUCCGUGUGCUGUCAUUCCGUUCUGGUAGCUGGCUACAAUUGUGUUUGCCCCCUUUUUGCGUUGUUCAAACUACUCACAGAAAGGGAAGACGGGGUGUCGUGUGGGUGUGGGACUCCUCAUUCUAGCAUUUUGGUACGUUGCUUUUUGGAAGGCUUUAUAGAUGGAGCAGUUAUAGAGUAACUCUCAUUUUUCUACAAACUAAACUUGCUAAUUUUUACAAAACAACAGAACAAACAGCAGUUGAAUUGGUUAGCAAAACGUAUGGAAAUGGUGUACGGUGAAACGAGUAGUGUUUAGACAAACAUAUAAACAAGAGAAGAAGCUCGAAGCGGCGGGGUACUAGCAAAAUGCAAGACAAAUCGUUUAAUGAGUGGGACAAUUAGACAAUGCAAAUGAAACUGGUACUACUACAAAAUUGAGCACGAACAGUAUGGAAAUUGUAAUCAAAGCAAACAAGCAAAAAAAAACACAACAAA